rnacentral:tRNA from 1 species
CCUUCCUUAGCUCAUUUGGAUCAGAGCGCCUGGCUACGAACCAGGGGGUAGCAAGUUCGAUUCUUGCAGGAAGGUCCA